rnacentral:tRNA from 1 species
GGAGGGCUGGCCGAGCGGUUGAAGGCACCAGUCUUGAAAACUGGCAAGGGUUCACGCCCUUCGUGAGUUCGAAUCUCACGCCCUCCGCCA